UACGGAGGGUGCGAGCGUUGCUCGGAAUCAUUGGGCGUAAAGCGUACGCAGGCGGUCUGUUUAGUCGGGUGUGAAAGCCCGGGGCUCAACCCCGGAAAUGCGCCCGAUACUGGCAGACUUGAGUGCGGGAGAGGGAAGCGGAAUUCCUGGUGUAGAGGUGAAAUUCGUAGAUAUCAGGAGGAACACCGGUGGCGAAAGCGGCUUCCUGGCCCGACACUGACGCUCAUGUACGAAAGCGUGGGGAGCAAAC
rnacentral:rRNA from 1 species